rnacentral:rRNA from 1 species
GGCGGCGUGCCUCAGACAUGCAAGUCGAACGAGUUUAAAGCUCUACUUCGGAGACGUGUAUAGAGUGCGCACGGGUGAGUAACACGUAAGUAAUCUACCCUCGAGUGGGAAUAACAACCGGAAACGUUGCUAAUACCGCAUAAUGCAGCGGCACCGCAAGGUGACAGUUGUUAAAGAUUUAUCGCUUGAGGAGGAGCUUGCGGCAGAUUUAGCUAGUUGGUAGGGUAACGGCCUACCAAGGCUACGAUCUGUAACCGGUCUAAGAGGACGGUCGGUCACACUGACACUGAAUAACGGGUCAGACUCCUACGGGAGGCAGCAGUCGGGAAUUUUGGGCAAUGGGCGAAAGCCUGACCCAGCAACGCCGCGUGAAGGAUGAAGUAUUUCGGUAUGUAAACUUCGAAAGAAUAGGAAGAAUUAAUGACGGUACUAUUUAUAAGGUCCGGCUAACUACGUG